CUUGGCCUGGCAGGAACAGCCAGCAAAACCAGCUCCUGCCUGCUGGAACUCCACUGUCAGCAUGCCCUGGAAGAGAGGCUGCAGAUUCCAGGAAGCCUCCUUCCAGAAACUGCUCUAAAUAACACAGAUGGACAACAGGAUAAAACCUCACCAGAGGCAAUAUGCCUUUUGCCAGGCUCCCUAAGCUGUGCUCUAGUUAGGCUCAGCAACUGCUCCAUGUGCCCAUGUGAAGGCUGGAAAUCCUGAUGAACACAGAGGGGACCCAGCUGCUCAUGCCUGAAUAGACUUGCCUUUGGCUCAUCUCUAAGCCCAGUGGUAACUGUUCCUGCUUUCUAUUGUUUUCCCAACUGAAUCACACGUGCUAAAAAGACACAUCAUUUAUCUGUGGCUGUUAUGAACUGAACUGUGUCUCCCUCAAAUGCAUAUGUGAAGCCCUCAACUCUGACACCUUGGACAAUGACUGUAUUUGGAGACAGGGACUUUAAAGAGGUGAUUAUAUUAAAUGAGGCUGAUGGGGUGAGCGCUAUUCCAAUCUGAUAGCCUUAUAAGAAGGACAGAGAGAGCCGGGCACGGUGGCUCACGCCUGUAAUCCCAGUACUUUGGGAGGCCAAGGCGGGCGGAUCAAGAGGUCAGCAGUUCGAGACCAGCCUGACCAACAUGGUGAAACACCGUCUCUACUAAAAAUACAAAAAAAUCAGCUGGGCGCGGUGGCGGGCACCUGUAAUCCCAGCUAUUUGGAAGGCUGAGGCAGGAGAAUCUCUUCAAACUGGAAGGCGGAGGUUGCAGUGAGCCGAGAUUGUGCCACUGCACUCUAGCCUGAGCAAAGAGACCAAAACUCCGUCUCAAAAAAAAAAAAAAAAAAAAAAAAGGACAGAGAGAGACACCAGAGGAGUGCACAGAAAAGACCAUGUGAGGACACAGCACGAAGACAGUCCUCUGCAAGCCAAGGAGAGGGGCCUCACAAGAAACGAAAUCUGCUGACAACUUCAUUUCAGAUUUCUAGCUCCAAAACUGUAGGAAAACUGACAGCAUAUAUAAGCCCCUAGUCUGGUAUUUUGCUAAGGCAGCCGAGCUGACCAAGACAGUGGCCAUUGAUGACUAUCAAGGAGUAGAUGGCAGUGGAUCAGAGAAGUUCCCGCCCCUUUGUGCACACGCUGUGCCCUCUGAUCUUCUUCAUACAUGUUGGAGACGUUAAGUCCUGAUUCUGGGAGACAGAUGGAAAGCAGGCUGUAGAGACUGGGACUAAGUCCCAGAAAACCAAGAAUGCCACCGAUUUAUUUUCCAUCCAGAAGAGCACAUGGCUUCCUGGAAGCAGCUGCCCCUAAAUACAUGUUUACUUUGGGGGAAUGAUAAUCUUGUAGUUAUAUCAGUUACUUUGGUCUUUACUAAUGUUUAUAUAAAAGGAUCCCACUCUGCAAAAACGCCAAGUUGGAGAGUUAUGUUUGUUAAAUUUAAUAACAAGAAGUGAAGCAACCAGACUUUAGAAUGAAACUACACACACAUGAUGUAGUGCUUGUAGCAUCAAGACAAUUCGGAGUUUAACCCACUGAUGAAUUUCAACAGGAGAUGGACUUUGAAUUGAUGUUCUGAGAAUAAAAAGAGGUUUCCAGAAUUCAUAAAACACAUGUUGAAUUACAUUUUUAUCCACUUACAUACAUUCUCUUGCUGGUACCCGACGAUAAAGACUCAUCGCAUAAAUACUUAUGUGAUCACAUAAGCACACUGGUGCUGGUAUGGAGCAUGAGUCUGGAACAGAGAAGGCCAGUGAGGAGGCUGCUGUGGUCUUCCUGGUGAGCAGCGCAAGGUAGAGGAUGGAUAUGAGGGAGGACUCAAGAUAGGAUGCUGUAGAGCACUGGGAGGCGAGGAGCUGGGGCUUUCUAGGACACAGGGACACAGGCAGCACACUCCCAGGAUAAUGCUGAGGAGCCCUACUGGAUUCUAUCGUUUGACCAAGGGGGAUGUCUUGAAAUUGGAAAAUGUACAAAAAAAGUACUGAGAUGUCCUGGCUACAGCUCAGGAUCUGCGGUUUAUAGAUGUAUUGUGUCUUAACAAGAGACACGGGGCAGGGGCAGGGUGUAUCCAUCUCUCCAUCGACUCAGGGUGGUGGGGGCCUAUGUGCACGGUGUGGGCAUUCCCACCACUCUCUGGACCUCCGGAGACCAAUGUGUCCUCUACAACACCAAAUGCCCCACCUGCGGGCAGUACCGCACUGGUCACCAGCACCACCCCAAGCGGGGGAAGUCAGUGGUUAUUGAGAUUCUUCUAUGAAGCCACAAGGUGUACAGCAUGGCCUCUCCCCGCCCACCUAUCUACCCUGCCUGCUUACGGUAAUUAGCGUGGCCCUGUCAGUGGAGCUGCUGUUCAAGAACAGGCUCGACAGAAUGGAGUGGGCUGGAGAUAGCUCUGUGGGAGAAAGCAUCUACAAGAACAGGCAGGCAGGUGGGGGACUGGCCUGGUUUGCGAGAAGAGAAGAAGGGGCCAGACUAACAAGAGUGACAAAGGCUCUAGAAGCCACUGCAGGUUCCAACUGGGGGUGAUGUGAAGAACAGCAAAGCUGACCUGUCACGUGGGGCAGUAUGCAGGGAAGAGAGCAAGUUGCAGGAUCAAGUGCAGGAGGCCAAGACCACAGCCCAGAAUGAGGGUCUGCAAGGAAUUUCUCCAUUUGGCUAGAUCUGGAGAAUAAAACACCCCAUAUCAUCACAGCAAAUAAAAAUAUUAAGCCUGAGCAACACAGCAUGACCUUGUCUCUACAAAAAAAUUAAAAAAUUAGCUGGGUGCAGUGGUGCGCACCUGUAAUUCCAGCAUUUUGGGAGGCUGAGGCAGGAGGAUCACCUGAACCCAGGAGUUUGAGACCAGCCUAGGAAAGAUAGAGAGACCUCCAUCUCUCUCUUUCUCUCAUUUUUUUUUUUUUUUUUUUGAGACAGAGUCUUGCUCUAUCGCCCAGGCUGGUGUGCACUGGCAUGAUCUCUGCUCACUGCAACAUCUGCCUCUUGGGCUCAAGUAAUUCUCCUGCCUCAGCCUCUGAGUGGCUGAG
rnacentral:lncRNA from 1 species